rnacentral:sRNA from 1 species
UUAAAUAACUAUAAACGAUUGUGGCGU